AGGACGAACGCUGGCGGCGUGCUUAACACAUGCAAGUCGAGCGGUAAGGCCUUUCGGGGUACACGAGCGGCGAACGGGUGAGUAACACGUGGGUGAUCUGCCCUGCACUUCGGGAUAAACCUGGGAAACUGGGUCUAAUACCGGAUAUGACCUCAGGUUGCAUGACUUGGGGUGGAAAGAUUUAUCGGUGCAGGAUGGGCCCGCGGCCUAUCAGCUUGUUGGUGGGGUAAUGGCCUACCAAGGCGACGACGGGUAGCCGACCUGAGAGGGUGACCGGCCACACUGGGACUGAGACACGGCCCAGACUCCUACGGGAGGCAGCAGGUGGGGAAUAUUGCACAAUGGGCGAAAGCUGAUGCAGCGACGCCGCGUGGAGGGAUGACGGCCUUCGGGUUAGUAACCUUCUUACAGCGAGGAACGAGCGAC
rnacentral:rRNA from 1 species